UACGUAGGGGGCAAGCGUUGUCCGGAAUCAUUGGGCGUAAAGAGCGCGUAGGCGGCCCUGUAAGUCCGCUGUGAAAGUCAAGGGCUCAACCCUUGAAUGCCGGUGGAUACUGCAGGGCUAGAGUCCGGAAGAGGCGAGUGGAAUUCCUGGUGUAGCGGUGAAAUGCGCAGAUAUCAAGAGGAACACCAGUGGCGAAGGCGAGUCCCUGGACAACACCUGACACUGAGGCACGAAAGCUAGGGGAGCAAACAGG
rnacentral:rRNA from 1 species